AGUGAACGCUGGCGGCAGGCCUAACACAUGCAAGUCGAACGGCAGCACAGUAAGAGCUUGUCCUUACGGGUGGCGAGUGGCGGACGGGUGAGGAAUACAUCGGCAUCUACUUUUUCGUGGGGGAUAACGUAGGGAAACUUAUGCUAAUACAGCAUACGAUCUACGGGUGAAAGCAGGGGAUCUUCGCACUUUGCGCGAUUGAAUGAGCCGAUGUCGGAUUAGCUAGUUGGCGGGGUAAAGGCCCACCAAGGCGACGAUCCGUAGCUGAUCUGAGAGGAUGAUCAGCCACACUGGAACUGAGACACGGUCCAGACUCCUACGGGAGGCAGCAGUAGGGAAUAUUGGGCAAUGGGCGCAAGCCUGAUCCAGCCAUGCCGCGUGAGUGAUGAAGGCCUUCGGGUUGUAAAGCCCUUUUGUUGGGGAAGAAAAGCAGCAGAUUAAUACCCCGCUGUUCUGACGGUACCCAAAGAGUAAGCACCGGCUAACUUCGUG
rnacentral:rRNA from 1 species